CCUUAUCAUAAUAGAACUAACAGGGGUCUCUUCUGUGAAGGCCUCUUCCAUGCGGGUAUACUUCUCAGCACAGAUAAGCAUGUCUGAAAAAUUUUGAGAAUAAGACUUGGUCAACAACUUCUUCAAGUCAUUCCUCAGUAGGUUGCCCAUUAUCAUGGUCAUCGCAGUCGACUGAUCCAGAUCAUAGAUCUUCAGAGUCACCAUGUUAAAA
rnacentral:lncRNA from 1 species